CUUCCAGGGGGAACAUAGUGGGGUGGGGAUAGAAAAAACAAACUCCCGCCAAGGAGGUGCUUUGCACGAGCAUUUUCCAACCCCCUCCCUUCAGCCCCGAACCUCCCCCUGGCACAAGGGAAAGGACUGUUUAAUUGCAGACGCUAUCAGGAAACCAGGUGCGUCCCCACUCCCCAACCCUAAAAUCCAAAGAAAGAGGAAAUUGUUUGAGAUGAUCUGAACAAAGGUCAGGUCCUAAACAGAUCCACGUGACCUUCUUUUGACCAUGUCACCUUCCUCGUCUUGGGUUCUGGAGCACAAGCGCCGGAUCAGCUGAAUGCGGCCUGAGCAUCUGGAAGUGGUCCUGAAGGGUACCUCGCGGUGCAGCCCCCGGAACAACCCAGGACACCCUGGACAGCCAGGCCGAGAGCAGGGACCCACCCGCGCCUCCUCGCAGCUGCUCGAGGGUAGGGAGGGGCGCACAGACCCCACUGCGGGCUGUAGAUAAGCGGGUGUCUGUUACCCGCCCUGCGCAAGUCCCCGGCUCUGAUUGCUGGUCCACAAAACCUGGAGGCUGAAUUAGACGGUCGGGUGGUCCCCAGCUUUGGAUUCUGUGGCCCUAUUUUAGACCCAGACUUGUCCGCGGAGGGUAGUGAAGAGCCGCAGACGGUUUGGAACAUGGACCAGAAAACAAUGGGUGGGGACCGUCUAAUCGGCUGUCUUCCCCAGAAGGGCGGAAACAGCUUUCCAAGCACUCGCGUUUCUUUAUUGAAUCUUGAGUGACACCUAGUGGCCCAUCCGCCUCACCGUCACGGCGACGCUGGUUUCACUGGGCUUUUCAGAAGGCGUGCUUGCCUGCCCUUGGUUCUCUGCUAGAAGGCUUUGGAGCCCUGGGUGCUGAUGACGUUUCCUGUGACCUCCCGGAAGCACUUGCUGUCCCCUGUCAACAUCCCUGUACCUGAGAUGCAUGCAGCUCUAAUGCAAAUGCGCUUCUCAUCUGGAGAGCUUGCUCGAGCGCAUCCUGAGCUCUCAGGCAGCAAAUAGAGUCGGGCAAUGUUCCAGGAGCUGGGCACACCAAGAUGACCAAAGCUUGGUUUCUGACCUCCAGAAUCUCAGCUCAGUCCAGCUGGGGGGAAUGAACCAGUAAAACGGUGUGUAUUGGAUGCUAUGGGGUACAGGGGUGGACGUAGCUCUGCCUAGAGGCCUCAAGAAAGACAGUCACCCUUGAGCUGAGUUUUGAAGAUGAGGCAGACUUCUAAAAUGACCCCUGAAGAUUCUCAGCCCCACCGUCCUCACAAUGUACACACACCUUUGCCCAGUUAUUUUAUCAAACAACUUAGGUAAUUCCGUGAAGAGAAUUUGCAGAUGUAAGUAAAGUUCCCAAAUUAGUUGAUCUUAAGAUCUGGAGAUGAUCCUGGGUGGGUCUAAUCUAACAAGAUGAACCUUUGAAAGGGGCUGCAUUGUCCUGGCAGAAGAGAUUUGACAAGUGACAGGAACUCAUCGUGGGCAAGAUUUUCUUUGCUGGCUUUAGAGAUGAAAGGGGCCAUGUGACAAGGAAUGCAGGCCAACUCCAGGAGCUGAGAACGACCCCCGGCGGACAGCCAGCAGAGAAACCAGACUUCAGUCCUAGCACUGUAAGAGCACUGAACUCUGCCAACAAGCAGGGAGUUUGGAAGUGAUCCCUGAGCCGAAUGAGACCCAGUCCCAUCUGACACCUUGAUUUUAUCUCUGUAGGACCCUGAAUAGAGGACCCAGUCACGUUGCAGUCAGGCUUUAGCCCUCCAGAACUAUGAGCUGAUAAGUGGGUGUUUUAAGCCGCUAUAUUUGUUUUUUGUUAUGAAGUCAUAGGAAACUGAUACAGAUGGUCAUUUCCACAUGACAAAGAGGAGAACCACAUGACAAAGGCUCAGAGGCAUAGAGAAGCAGAGAACUAUGUCAUACAUAGAACUAAAGACAUUUGGCAUAUAACUGGGCCAUGGGGAGCAAAGGAGAUGGUAAGAUAUACUCAUGAGAACUUGGCUGUGGAUCAGAGAGAAUGUGCCCUUGGGCUAACUUUGCUUUCUGUGCCUCAGUUUCCCCAAAGUUAAAACGGAAUCAUAAUCAUAGUUAAAACAUAGAGUUGUUAGGUUAACAGGCCAUAGGCAUAUAGAGAGUUCAACACAGUCUUGGGAUAAAAUAAGUGUUCCAAAAAUGUUAGGUAGUAAUAGCUUUAGUAAUUAAUCAUGUAGUUAAUGGACUGGAAUAAAGAGAGGGCAAGUCCUGUGGUUUUUACAGAGUGGUCUAGGGACCACCUGCACUGGAUGAUUCCAGUGGUGAGCUGAUUAAAAACGCACAUGCCUGGACUGUACCUUGGUCUUACAGAAUCGGACUCUCUGGGGGUACAGCCUGAGAAUCUGCACUUUCCAGAAGCUUCCAAGGUGAUCUUUGUGAGAACCACCAAGCAAGAAUUAAGAAGACUUGUAGAUCCCUGUUGUGUUCCAGGAGAAGAUACUAUCUCUGUCUUCCAAGGCUGUUUGCUAAAAAGUAUCUUUGAAAAGAUAACCUACAACAAAAAGUCAGUGUUCCUGCUCAGGAGAUGUGCGGAAAUAUGAGAGAACCAUGGAGAAUUGCCUGUCAAGAGCAUGUGGUAUGGAAGCUAAUCUUUGAAGACACACGUAAUCAGCAAGAUGGUGAUUGUUGAAGGACGAGUGUGGCCUGAUGUGCUAAUUUCUAGGUUGAAAAGGAACAUCAUUUUUGCAACAAUGAAAUUGUGAUCUGCCCUUCCCCCAACUCCUCCUCCCUUCUCAUUUAGGGCUGACUGUAAUUUCAUGCUGCAUUUGCAAGCCUGCAGGCAGACACCUUAAUUACUAUGGAUGCCAGAUAGAAAGAGGAGUGCUAAUCAAACCUUUAUUAAUCGGUGACACGCUUCCAACUUUCAGGAGCAGAUGCUAGGGAGGAAUGAAUGUUUGUAAACCACGGUACCCACCAACUCCCCUCAGGUGUGGAUUUUUUUUUUCUUAAAUCAAGUACCUUUUACAUCCACUAGGGGGAAUCCUAGCGUGCUUCAAAGUCUGCCUUUUUCUAUGCUUAGUAGAACGACAUACCUAUGAAAACUUGUCUGUUAACGGGUGUGUCCCUUCUGCUCUGGAAGGGCUCCGAGAUCUAGCAUAUUGUCAUAUUUUUCAUACAGAUGAGAGAAUGUCAUUGAAGAUAUGUUAAAGAAACUCAGUUGCUCAAAUUUCCAGUGGAUUUAGAAGAAAUCUAUCUCAGAGAAAGUUUUCCGUGUAAACAGAAGUUUCUACCGGGGAAAAGAGGGUAAUUAUUUGUCAGAAUCUUCACUUACUAAAAAAUAGAAAACACUAUGUCUGUGCCUUUGCAAUUUUAAGGAGCUUAAUUUUAAAUACCUGUUAGGCGCUGGUGCGAUCUUUAUGCUCAGUGGAGUUCUUAAAGUAUUAUUGGCACUCAGUUGAUAAUUAUUAUAAUUAUUGUAGGCUUGCCUGACAUAAUUACAGUAUAAGAUGCUUCGCUUUUCAGUAUAAAGCCAUUUUCAAACAAAGUUUGAAAGGUGCUGUAAAUUAACAAAUAAAUCAAAAGCUGUGUUCAGUGGUUGCUCCUCCAUGUUGUCAAUAAUAUUUUUGGUGGCAAGGAGUUGUUUUCUCCUUUUAUUCUCUUUCUCUGCAGAGAUAAUCAAUUCAUGAAUUGGUAAAUAUGCAUUGUGCAGAUGCCAAGUUUUGUCAUUGUAUGUGGGACUGUGGGUACCUCAAAGAAAGACCCCUGACCCUAAAAAGUAUGGAGCCUUUACACUACAAUUCAACUGACAUUUAUUGAAUACUGACUCUGUGUAAAGCCCAGUAAUCUGCACGAAAAUAACACCAUUGGUCUUGCUCAUUGCAAUAACCCCAGCCCGCCACACAUACCUAGCACAUAGUAGGUUCUCAGGAAGUAUCGUUAAAAAGAUGGGAGUGAGUUAAUGAACAGAAAGUUUGAGGAAUACGGGGAAUGUGGAGAUAAACUGAGUAAGACGCCCUCCCUGAUCUCAAAUAAAUUAGAUUAAGUGAAGAGCUAUACACACAAACAAUGUGUAGUGCAUGAUGUGAGUCACCAGAUUUAAAUGCUGUGAACUUACCGAUAAAGUGCUCUUCAAGUUCAGAGCAGGGAAUUCAGAACCAAGUGGAGGAGUUGGUCCCGUUAUACAAAUUCAACAGGCGAGUUCAGUCACACUGCUAGAACAGAGCCUGGCGUGGAGCAGACACUAUUUCAUAAUAAAUGAAUGGGCCCUUACUGUACA